rfam:Morganella phage vB_MmoM_MP1, complete genome.
GCACCUAUCGUCUAGUGGUUAGGACAUCAGGUUUUCAACCUGGCAACCGGAGUUCAAUUCUCCGUAGGUGUA